GUCUACAGCCAUGCCACCCUGAACGUGCAGGAUCUUGUCGGAUCUCGGAAGCUAAGCAGGAUUGGGCCUAAUUAGUACUUGAAUGGGAGACUAUCUAGGAAUAUCAGAUGCUGUAGGUG
rnacentral:rRNA from 1 species